GGCAAGAGAAGUUGAGUACUUGUGGAGAAUCUUCUCGAGGGAGGAUUCUCGUUAAUUCCAGGUCAGGAAGAGACCAGAACAACCCCAGCGUUCUGGGCAUGAACAGAGAGCCAAGGUGAGAGAAAUGUAUCCAAAAACUUCUGGUGGCGUGAUGGCGGCUUCUUGCGGCUUCUCCAGACUCAGGCCGAUUGGCAGAGUGACGGCAGCUGAGACAGACUCACGUGGAACUUUGCCAAGACAUGCUGAGUCAAGACACAUGGAGGACCCUCCUGGUAGCAGAUGAGAAGCAGAGAUGCAGUGGUCCUUCAAGGGCAACAGACAGCAGUCAGAGCCCAGAGAAGAGAAGGCAAGGCAAAGAAGACGCAUGUUCACAUGGCAACCUAUACUUGGAUGCUCAGAAUUCUAAUUACAGCUGAUGAGAUGUGAAAAUAAAUCAGAUCUAUUCGCUUUGCAUGA